CCCUUAGAUGUUCUGGGCGGCCCGCGCACUACAAUGGCGCUUUCAGCGAGUUCCUAUGUUGAAUUUUCCUGGGUAUUCUUGGAAGCGGCGUCUUGACUUGGGAUAGAUCCUUGUAAUUGUUGGUUUUGAACGAGGAAUUCCUUGUAAUCGCGGUUGAUCAGCUCGCGUUGAAUACGUCCCUGCCCUUUGUACACACCGCCCGUCGCUCCUACCGAUGAAUCGUCCGGUGAAGUUCACAGAGUGGCGGUUCGUGGAGUUGCUCGCGAAGUGAAAUGGACCUCACGAUUUAGAGGAAGGAGAAGCCGUAACA
rnacentral:rRNA from 1 species